CCUACGUGUGGCAGCAGUGGGGAAUAUUGGACAAUGGGCGAAAGCCUGAUCCAGCCAUGCCGCGUGUGUGAAGAAGGCCUUCGGGUUGUAAAGCACUUUCAGUGGGGAAGAAAGCCUUGGGGCUAAUACCCUCGAGGAAGGACAUCACCCACAGAAGAAGCACCGGCUAACUCCGUGCCAGCAGCCGCGGUAAUACGGAGGGUGCGAGCGUUAAUCGGAAUUACUGGGCGUAAAGCGCGCGUAGGCGGUCUGAUAAGCCGGUUGUGAAAGCCCCGGGCUCAACCUGGGAACGGCAUCCGGAACUGUCAGGCUAGAGUGCAGGAGAGGAAGGUAGAAUUCCCGGUGUAGCGGUGAAAUGCGUAGAGAUCGGGAGGAAUAUCAGUGGCGAAGGCGGUCUUCUGGACUGACACCGACGCUGCGGUGCUCAACCGCGGCUACCAAUCAGGAUAAGAUACCCUUGUAGUC
rnacentral:rRNA from 1 species